UACGGGGGGGGCAAGCGUUGUUCGGAAUUACUGGGCGUAAAGGGCGCGUAGGCGGCCUUGUAAGUCCUGUGUGAAAUCCCCCGGCUCAACUGGGGAACUGCACAGGAGACUGCUUGGCUUGAGUUCGGGAGAGGGAAGCGGAAUUCCGGGUGUAGCGGUGAAAUGCGUAGAUAUCGGGAGGAACACCAGUGGCGCAAGCGGCGGCCUGGGUAUGACCUGACACUGAGCCACGACGGCGUGGGGAGCAAACGGG
rnacentral:rRNA from 1 species